GGAAAGCAAAUUAACAAGGGUUUUUUUUAGGAACCGUGUGACAACCAAAUAUAUGUUGCUUAUAAAUCCCAGCGCCCCAUUCUAUUUCAUUAGAGCUGGAAGAAUGGAUUCACAAGUGGAGGAGACCAGCUCCUUCCGCAGAGCGUACCAGCCUCGGCGUGUGAUUUGGUUGUUUACGAGGUGUUCACGUUUUGAAAAUACCGCACUAACUUAAAAACAAAACCUGACUCUCUCCCCUGCCGCUGUGCCAAAGCGAGGCACUGAACCUGACAGCCGUCUUGGCUUCCUUCCCUUGCACUUGACUCUGAGGGAAACCUGCCCCUGGAAAUACUUGUCCGUAAUUUAUCUUUACGAAGGCCUUUGUCUGUCGGUGCUGUCGGAAGAGACCCGUUUCUGUCACUUGGGUUUUGUAGGUGAGUCUGUCAGAUGGGCCCAGACGGUUCCCGCCUCGUGGCUUAUGUGACGUCAGCAUCUGGGUUUGCCGCAGGCCUGGGGGGUGGGGGGGUAAGCACUGUCUGCGGCCAUCAGCCAGGACAAGCUCUAGGUGUGGUGUGUGGACACGAUGCCACCCUGGACGCUAAGUGACCCAGAGGAAGACACGGGAACACCUGAGUCAGUUGGGCAGAGUGACUGAUGCAUGUUCUAACUUUGAGAUGCGGGUUACUUUUUUCUUAAUUUGUUUUAAGUUUAUUUCUUUUUGAGAGCAGGGGAGGGACAGAGACAGAGGGAGACACAGAAUCCGAAACCGGCUCCAGGCUCUGAGCUGUCAGCACAGAGCCCGACGCGGGGCUCGAACUCAUGAACCGUGAGAUCAUGACCUGAGCUGAAGUCGGACGUUAACCGACUGAGCCACCCAGGCGUCCCUGUGGGUUACUUUUAGUAAGAGCCUUUCACUUGACCUUCCUGCCGGACACCUGUUUGCUGAUGCUUCAGUCACCGUCUUGAAUCUAUCUUUAGAACUCCCCCCCUGCCUUUUGGUUCCGGUGUUAGUCACAGGAUCUGUUCUCAUGCUAUUGUCCCGAGGACAGAAGAGAUCGGGAUCUUUCCCGUCCCCAGGUGUGAACGCACGUCAGGCUUGGAUGUCGUGUCGCAUGUGUAUGUGCGCUCCCAUGUGUUAGGGAAAAGGGCCUUUUACGCGGUAGGACGGAAAGGGAGAGAGGUGCAGUGUGAAUAUCAAACCAGCAUCCGGAUAAAUUGCACUGGGCGGGGGGGGUUGUCUGCGGUCACCCCCGAGACAGGUCACUUUAAGCCCGAGAAGCUUCCCCCUUAAUGACGGGACUUGCAUGUGCGUCCUGUGCAGCCCUCGAUUUCACGUCCAGUGUUGACGGUGGGUGCGGCUUUGAGUUUGAGUUUGAGUCAGACCUGGGCUUGAGGCCUGGCUCUGCCAUUUAUUAGUUUGUCCCAAGGCAGUCAGUCGGUGGAUCUUGGGACCUUCGCUUCCUAGCGUGCAGAAAGGGGAUUAAGCAUAUUUGCUUCAGGAAUAAGCAGGGCCCUGGUCCCCGGGUCCUGGCUCUGACUGUGGCCGCUCACCCUGGGGUGGGGGCGGCCUCCGGGCCUGGCUCCAGGCUCCUGCACGCAGCCUUUCCCCCCACGAGUUCCUACAACCCGGCUAAUCACUUACUUGUGGUUCUGCUCUCAGUGUAUCCGGGACAAGGGCGGAGUCGGUCCCUGGCGGGGAGCGGUGACCUCAGCCUGAGCACGGAGGGCAGCCCCGUCACAUCAGGAGUGAGGUGCUUAGUUUGCCGACGACCGGGUUGCUAGGUGAGAGCGAGUGUCUGCUAAAUAGAUUUGUCACAUGUUGACUGUUCCAUUAGUGACAUCAGAUGUUUCCUCUGAGCUUCUGGAACACAGGAGGGUGGGAAGUGCGCGAUGGCCGAAGCAGGCCGGGAGAACAGCGGCUGUAAAUGCGGCUCAUGGCCGGGCCCAGGGCUCCAGCAGUGGUCCUCGCGUGGAUUCGUCCCGAUGGCACUUGGCGCUUUCUUGUCAGCUUCCAUUAUUUCCCUUUGGAUGGGCACUGUGGGAGGGGGGGGNNNNNNNNNNNNNNNNNNNNNNNNNNNNNNNNNNNNNNNNNNNNNNNNNNNNNNNNNNNNNNNNNNNNNNNNNNNNNNNNNNNNNNNNNNNNNNNNNNNNNNNNNNNNNNNNNNNNNNNNNNNNNNNNNNNNNNNNNNNNNNNNNNNNNNNNNNNNNNNNNNNNNNNNNNNNNNNNNNNNNNNNNNNNNNNNNNNNNNNNNNNNNNNNNNNNNNNNNNNNNNNNNNNNNNNNNNNNNNNNNNNNNNNNNNNNNNNNNNNNNNNNNNNNNNNNNNNNNNNNNNNNNNNNNNNNNNNNNNNNNNNNNNNNNNNNNNNNNNNNNNNNNNNNNNNNNNNNNNNNNNNNNNNNNNNNNNNNNNNNNNNNNNNNNNNNNNNNNNNNNNNNNNNNNNNNNNNNNNNNNNNNNNNNNNNNNNNNNNNNNNNNNNNNNNNNNNNNNNNNNNNNNNNNNNNNNNNNNNNNNNNNNNNNNNNNNNNNNNNNNNNNNNNNNNNNNNNNNNNNNNNNNNNNNNNNNNNNNNNNNNNNNNNNNNNNNNNNNNNNNNNNNNNNNNNNNNNNNNNNNNNNNNNNNNNNNNNNNNNNNNNNNNNNNNNCCCCCCCCGCCUCCCACCUGGACCCCUGCCAGAGCCCCCACUGGUCUCAGCCUGCAGCCCCCUCCCAGCCAGUCAGGCUCCACCUUCCAGCCAGCAGGAUUUUUCCGGAAUUACGGCCAUUUCUCCCCAGCGUGUGGUGGUUCUGCAAGCCUCUUGUCCUUGGGGGGAUUCAGGAAGCCCUCCGUGCACGCUCUGUCCACCAGCCCCAAACCCACAUGACUCUUCUCUGCCUGGGCCAUCUGUCCUCCCUCUGCGUCCUGUUUCCAGCUCUGCCUCCUCUCCUGGCCAGCCCAGGGGGCCUUCCUCCAGGCCACCUGGCCCUCGGUCUCCCCAGCAUCAGGCUGUCACCCUCCCGCAGGCCAGGGAGGCAGAGGAGGGUCUGCUGCAGGCACCCUGGCCAACUUGUCUUCAGGCCCAGCACCUGGUUCUGCUCAGUGACCAGGCACCCACAAGGUGUCCACUGUGUCAUUGAACAGGUGCUGCCCUCAGGGCAUUUCAGGACCCUUCGUGAGGCAACAGGGCCAUCGUCCAAUUUUAUUGCCUGUUUCUCAUUUGGGAGGGUGAUGUGUUUUUUUAAUAUGUUUUUAAUGUUUAUUUUUUUUUGAAAGCGAGAGAGAGAGAGAGCGUGAGCAGGGCAGGGGCAGAGAGAGAGAGGGAGACGCAGAAUCUGAAACAGGCUCCAGGCUCUGACCUGUCAGCACAGAGCCCGACGCGGGGGCUGAACCCAUGAACCACGAGACCGGGACCUGAGCGGAAGUUGGACGCUUAGCCGAAUGAGCCACCCAGGCGCCCUAGACAAUGUAUUUUUACAUUCUUCUCACAUAUCUUCUGUUUUAUCCCAGCCUGAACUAUAUUGUAUCUCCUGUGCUUUUAAGUUGCAAAUAGAAUUUCCAUACGUUGGCGCCUGGAAGUGUUCAGAGCGGUCUGUCUCAUGCUCACUCCCGCCGUGGCUGGUGCCCCAUAUAGAAGCAGAGCCUGGGGGACUGCGGUGUCCCCUGUAGGGAGCCACAGGCUUCGCCUGACUGCCACUUGUCCAAAAAAAAUUUUUUUUUCAUUUUCAAGUUUAACCCCCUUGAUUUUCCUUCCAUAAAAACGCUGCCUGGAAGCUCCAGCCGGACCCCAACGUUCUCUUUCCAGGUCCUUGGGUGGAUCUUCAGAGACUGAGUUCCUGAGCACAGCCUCCUUCCAGGGCUCAGGCGAGGAAGCUAUAGCUUGGACGGGACUUUGAAGGUGGACGGGCAGACGGCCCAGGUGGCCGUGUAGGCCCUGGCCCAAGUGUAGCACGCCCCACUGACCACCGCUGGUGGCAGCUUCCUGGGUGGGGGGUGGGACCAGGCAUGCUCCACAGAACUGCGGUGGCAGGGGCCAGUGGGGCCUCGCUGGCCUCGUCCCUCGUGACCAUUCCCCCAUCCCCCACUGCCCCCAGCCUCUCCCCCCACCCCCCUACCCCGAGCUGCUUUACCUAGAGCACCCCUAAGGGGUCAGGUGCUGGAACCUGCUGGGGGUCUCACCACUCACACGGUGGCCUGAUUCCCAUUCUGGCUGGAACAGAACGGCGAGGUGGACUGGCACCGCCUUCCGUCCCAGGCCUUAGGCCCUGCUGGCCUGCGGUGGUUCGGAAAAGACAUCUUAAAAUGGGGGCGCCGAGAGCUCUUCCAGCUGGAGAGACCAGAGGACUUCUGUCCUCUGACGUUGUCCCCGCGGAACAGAAAGUAGCCCUGACGGCCAGGAGGAGUAGGCCUGGUCCUUACAGCUCGGGGGCCUCCCGUGGAAUAUAAACACAGGGAAUAUCGGCGUCAGACAGGCCGCUAACGGAUCAUCAAGACGAAGACAAGACCCCUGGGUCAUCACUGAACACGGACGACCGCAUGAACGUCGUUCAGGCCACAGAAGGACCAAACCUCCCCGGCCCGGCUGCAGGAGCGCCGGCUGCUUCACCAGCCCCGGCUCCGGACAGGACCAGGCUCCCUCCCCUGUGGGUGAGGGUCACCCAGAACCCCCCUUCCUGCCAGCGGCCGGUCCGGAGCAGACCCCCGCCUCCUCAGGCCCCCCACACCCCGCAGGCCCUUUGGGUGCCUGGUCACUGGGCAGAACCAGGUGCUGGGGUCCUCUAGGCCCCAGGCGAUCGCCCCUCCAGCCUUGGUGGGGAGAACGCAAGAACGCAGAGAACGUGUAACAGGUUCCUGUGGCGGACUUCGUUACUUUUGACACGGCCAAGUGUUAACAAAGAUGGACUUCUUCCCCGAGGUCGGCAGGGGCCCCGUUUAAUCUUGGAGGACAGGGACGCACAUUCUUCUCUUCAGCAGGUGCUGUGAGUGGCGAGCAGAGAAUGAGCCAGGGGAUACCUGGCCGGGGCUUCUCUGCACACGAGCCCCACGCCUCCCUCCCCUACGGGUACAUUACGCCGCUUGCAAACUGCUUCUCUCACCAAGCCUGAGGGGCCUGCUAAGAAUCAGCAUCAUCAUCAAAUGCCAGCACCUCAUCUGGGAACCGGGGGACGCGGCUGGUCCUUCAUUGUGGGUGGAGCUUCCCAAGGUCACACCGCCGUUGAAGGGCACGGACCUGGCAAAUGUAACUUCCCACGGGCUCUUUCCAGCACGGGGCGCUGUCUGCUAGGGAAGCCCUUUUCACGUGGAAACAGCAGGUCACUGUCGCCACGGGACAGUCCAGGAACUGACGCUGAAGAUGAUAAUCCAGAGAUCCUGGCUGUCACUCUCCGUGGAUGAGGUGUGGGAGGCACACGAGGGAGCCUGCAGGGGGUAACGGAACAAGGACAGAAUCGGGGCAGAAGAACCAGCUCUCUCCCGGCCCCCCUGCUUUCUUGCUGUGCGCCUGUGGGGAAGUUACUUAGCUUCUCUGAGCUUUGUUUCCUCUUCUGCAAGGCGGGGAUAAUAGCCUGUGCCCGCCCACCUCAGAGAGUCAUGGAGAGAAAAGGAAGAUAAUGGCUGUAAAAGUGCUAAAUCACUAUCAGCUUUUUGCUACAACUGUUUUGCUACACAUUUUUGCUACCACUUUGAAGUAUCCGCGCCUGCCCCUCAAGGAGUUCACAAGCUGUUUCUUGUAAAGACCAGGCCUAUGCAGCAAUGAAAGAGACAGCAGAGGCUCAGUGCUAGAGAAGCAGCAUGGCAACCUGGGGCGGCUUCCUGGAGGAGGAGGAGUUUGAGCUGUGCCUUAAAGAAUGAGCGGAAACUGCAUGGAAGGCAGGGGAAUGGUGAGGGCUAAUUGCAGAAAGAUGGCUCGGGGCCAUAUCACGAAGGAUACUGGAUGCCAGGCUAAAGAACUUGGACCUAUUCCACAGGCACUAGGGAGCCAUUGAAUGUUUUUGAGGAGGGACAAGAUUGGUGUCCUUAGAGAUGUGAGUCUGGGGGCUGGUUUGGAGGAUGAUGGAGAUGGGAAGGGGCGGGAGGGAAGCACAGCAGUGGAGAGCUGAGGCGGUGAACUCAGGGUGUGCAGGGGGGAGGGUGGGGGGUGGCGGGCGCGGCUUCGGCACACCUGGGCGGGAGGGGCUCGGGAGGCAGGAGCGAUUCUCAGUUGCCCAGCAGGGGGCGUUUGUGCGAAAGGGGUUUGAGCCUUGAAAGCAGAGUCAAGUAAACGGGGCAAAAUGGAGUUAACUCAAGUGCGUCCGAUCCUUGAACCACGCAGGUUUGACCUGCACGGGUCUACGUAUUCAUCGGUGGCUUUUUCUCCAUCAGUACAGUACCGUAAACAUUAUUUUCUCUUGCCUGUGAUACAGUUUCUUCUCUCUAGCUCACUUUGCUGUGAGAACACGGUAUAUAACCAAUACGUAUCGAAUGUGUGUUGAUCAGCUUGUUUGCACUACCAGUCAGACUUCUGAUCAGCAGGAGUUACGCUUUGGGAGAGCCAGAAGUUACAGGCGAAGUUUCGACUGCGUGGCGGGAGGGCGGUUGUCCGCACGCCCGACCCCUCACCGUUCAGUGUCAGCCGCGCUUUCCAGGAGCCGUUCAGCGAGGCCCCGCUCCUCGUGACUGUGAAAUAACGCCGCUUCCGGGUCACGGCGCUGGGUCGCGAACAGUGAGAAGGUCACCGGCUCCUGAAUCGGGGACUCGUGGAAAAGGAAAUCAGAGCUUUCCGACUGAGAAGGAAAAGAAAUGUGUCGGAAAACUGACUUCUAGGCAAACUCUUGUUGGUACGAAGGUGUCCCCGACAGAAACCUCUCUCCAGGGAGCCGACGUCCCUGCCUUUCCACGGAGUCCCCCUGUGUUGGAGGGGCGUUGGCAGUUUGAUCAGCAGGCCCUGGGGCCCAACCGUGAACAAGACGGGCAAGUCCUCGCUUAGCAGAGGUCAUUCUAACUAUUUAUUUAUUUAUUUAUUUAUUUAAAAAAAAUUUUUUUUCAACGUUUAUUUAUUUUUGGGACAGAGAGAGACAGAGCAUGAACGGGGGAGGGGCAGAGAGAGAGGGAGACACAGAAUCGGAAACAGGCUCCAGGCUCUGAGCCAUCAGCCCAGAGCCUGACGCGGGGCUCGAACCCGCGGACCGCGAGAUCGUGACCUGGCUGAAGUCGGACGCUUAACCGACUGCGCCACCCAGGCGCCCCUAACGUUUAUUUAUUUUUGAGACAGAGACAGACAGAGCAUGAGCAGAGGAGGGUCAGAGAGAUGGAGACACAGAAUCUGAAACAGGCUCCAGGCUCUGAGCUGUCAGCACAGAGCCCAACGCGGGGCUCGAACUCACGGACCACAAGAUCAUGAGCUGAAGUUGGAUGCUAAACCGACUGAGCCACCCAGGCUCCCCAGCAGAGGUCAUCCUAAAGGGGAGAGAAAGGAACAACGCCAAGGACGGGGAGAAAUGCAGUGACGAGGCAGAGGGCAGGCACUGAAGGUCAUGAAGGAGGUGCCAUGAGGGCCAGAGCUGAGUGCGGCUGGGCAGGGGUGGGCGGGGCCAGUGGGCCAGAGAGGCCAGCCCUCAGGGUUGUGUCUGGACCCAUGCUCAGGAUCAGGGGGGCCCGUGAGCUGCUUGGGGCUUUGGAGGGCUGGCUGCGGGACACAGGUGAUUUCCUCGGGGGUCUGGAAAGAGCUGAUGCUCGCGCUACAUGGGCCCCUCCCCCACGUUGGCCCAGUUGAGACCAGAGCGGAGAGACUGUGAGGCUGAGUUACUGAGGCGGAGUCCCCUUGCAAGAAGGACCAUGAGCUUGCAAGGCCAGGGUGUGGGGGCUGCCCACUUUCUCGAUUUCCCUGGUCCCGACCGUUCAGUUCUUCCUUCCAUUCCACUGUCCUUCCUCUCUGUGCUACCGUUAGCCUGAGCUGUCUAGACAUGCCCUCUGAUGCCCGCAGCGCACAGCAUCCUCACCUAUAAAAAGGUCACUGUGGUUUCAGUAAGGGGCACAGAGAGAAGUGUCACCUGGAUGAUGGAAGGGGGUGGUCUGGAGAGAGAGAGGAGAUGCUUAGAAAUAGCGCAGACAGGACUUGGCGAGGGGAUGAGUGAGGAAGGGGGAGAGAGGCGUCAAGGAGGAUGCCCAGGUUUCUGGAAGAUUCUUUCGAGGCAGGGGCUCUGCGGGGGAGCAGGGCUCAGCAGAAUGAGGACCGUCGGUUUUAGAGACGUUGAACUGUCAUGCUGGCAGUUGAGGAUUAGGCUGGGCAGUGACACAGAACUGAGGGCCACCAGUGUGGAGAUGGGAGGGGUGCCCCAGCAGGUGGCCUGUGGACAGAGGGCAGCUGUCCUAGGUCAGCCCACAGGAACAGGCAGGGCACGGCAUUUCAGGAAAGCCAGGGAUGAGCACUGCACAAGGUCAUGGUGCUGAGACCUGGAGGAGGGGGAGGGGGGACACUGGGACUUCACAACUUGGGAGUGCAAGGUCACAGCUCGGCAGGGAGACCCAUGAGUGGGCCAGCCACGUAGACAAGUCUUUCAAGUAGGGAGAUGCGGGAGAGAAGAGAGGGCGGGAACUUCCGCGGAGUCGUUCGCCCAACUAAAGGUUAUUACUUUUUAUGGCUUUGUUCAUUCAUGCACGCAUUCGUUCACUCUGCCAAUAUUUACUGGGUGCUCACUGUGUGCCCAGCUGUUCUAGGUGCUGGGGACACUUCGCAGAAAAAGAUGGGCCAGUCCCUGCCAUCACGGACCAUAAAAUCCAGCGGGUGCUUGAGUUUUGUUGAGGUUGCAAUUUGUACCAUAAACACUCAAUUCAAUGAUUUUUAGCAAACGUACAGAGUUGGGCAACCACCACAAUCCAAUUUUAGAACGUCUCCGUCCCCCGCAAGACCCCCCAUGCCUGUUUACAGGAAGUCCCCAUUCCUACUCCCAGCCCCUGACAACCGCUACCCUGCUUUCUGUUUCUAUAGAUUGGUCUUUCUCGGGCAUUUCGUGUAAAUGGAAUCCUACAGCAUGUGAUGUUGUAUGUUUAGCUUCCUGUCCUUAGCAUGAUGUGUUUGAGGUGACAGGAUACCCCAGCGUUUCCCCCCUUUUGACUGCUGGGGUAGGGGUGGGUAGGGGUGGGUAGCUGAUGGCCCUGGAGUUGUUUUUACUUCGUAACCACUGUAACGGUUCGUAGCCAUUGUGAGUAACACCACUCACCGGCUCUGCAUAUCUGUGCACCGUCUUUAUGUGGACAAAGGUUUUCGUUUCCCCUGGGUAGAUAUCUAGGAGUAGAGUGGCUGAAUCACAGAUAAAUAAACUUUUUCGGAAGCUGCCAAACUGUUUUCCAAAGCAUAGCGCGCCAUUUAACGUCCCCGCCAGCGGUGCCUGUGGAUUUAUUUUUCUCCACGGCCGCGCCAAUACCGACUGUCUUUUACAAACCUUUUGUAAUGUUUAUUGAUUUUUGAGACAGAGAGAGGUAGAGCGUGAGCGGGGGAGGGGCAGAGAGAGAGGGAGACACAGAAUCCGAAGCAGGCUCCAGGCUCUGAGCCAUCAGCACAGAUCCCGAUGCGGGGCUCGAACUCACAAACCGCGAGAUCGUGACCUGAGCCGAAGUCGGACGCUUAACAGACUGAGCCACCCAGGCGCCCCUUGACAGUCCUUUUACAUCUGGCCAUCUUUGUGGCUGGGAAGUGAUGGGUCUCUGUGCCUUUGAUUUGCGUUUCCCUGAUGGCUAAGGAUGUUGACCUCCUUUUCAUGUGCUUAUGGAACCUUUGUAUGUCUUCUUGAGAGAACCUGCAGUAAAGAGCUGCAUUUUUCAGUUCUGGUAGGAGAUGGUGACUUGUCUCUAAUUCCGCGGUGGAAGGUUUCACUGACUCUUCCAUGAAGGCUUUACUGAUAGCUCUUGUCUACACUGGUCUCCCCUUUCUCUUAGAAUUUAAAGCAUAAGUCAGAUCGUAUCUGAGGCCUCAUGCCCUCCAAAGGAACUUCCCCUGGAUCUUAGAAUAAACUCACGCUCCUCACCCCUCUGGCCUCAUCUCCCACCGCCCUCCCAUUUCUGCCCCUGCUCGUUUCGCAGCAGCCUCUGAGUGUGCCACACUCUUCCCUGCCCCAGGGCCUUGGCACUGGCGGGCCUCUCUACCUGGAGUUCUCUUCCCCUCGCUCUUUGCAGGACUGGCUCCACGGUCUCUUUUCACCUUCUGUUUGCCUCAAAGCACUGAUCACCGGCUAGGACGAUCAGUCCUUAGUCAGGUGUUCGCUUGCUUUUUUCUUUUCUCCCCCUUGCAAAGCCUUUGCGAGGGCCACUCCGGCAUCCCCCCCGGCCCCGGCCCGGCGGCAGCAGGCAUGGGAUACGGGUCAGCUGGAUGACUGACCGAAGGGGACGCAGGUGUCUGCUCCUUUGUGACUGUCCUCACCCUCCAGCCGUGUGGCUCCCACUGCCCGGGCCUUUGCCAUCCAUCCCCAGGCGGAGACGAGGCACAGCUCGAGAUCAGGGUGACAUUCCAUCCUCUGUGUCCUCGACGGUCACUUGGUGAAGCGUUUUGGGACCGUGUUAGAGCAGCAGGUGCUGGGGGCACCGACAAACCAGAGCAAGACCAGACGGGGUCCAAGGAAUGGUUUAAAAGUUGAGGAAAGGUCCUCCCAAGAAAAGAUUUAAGGGCAACGUGAAGGAUUCGAAGGGCCGUAAGGUGAAGAAGAGUCCUAUGUAAUGGGCAGAGGGCAGAACGGGGAGCCGCGGGCGGAAGAAAUGAGGGGGUAGGUGCUGGUUUGGCAUAAGGGGGACCUUUCUGUUAGCACUGUCCAGCUCUGGAGUGGCUCAUCUUCUGAGGCAGCGAGCCCCCUGUCCCAGGGAGAGUCGCCCCUGGGUGUGGUGGAGGGGAUACACCAUGGAGAAGAAGGUUGGGACAGGUGGCUCGCUGGACCUUUCUGCCUCUGAGCCUCUAGGAAUCCCCUAAGCCGAAGGGUGCGUGCCGCACCGUGCCAGCGUCCUGAGGUGGCCUAGAAUUUUGAUCUGGUGCUUCUGAAAAAGGGGAAAGAGCCACUUUGGAGGGGGGGGGGGAGAAGGAGAGCAGCGUGCACGUGGCAUCCCCAGAACCGGCCAGCAGGGAGAGGAAGGGCUUCCCUCCAAGGCCCUGAGAGUGACUUUGCUGCUCGCUCGCUGAUUUGUGGGGCAUCCCUCUCCCCUAUAGCAGAUCUGCCCCACGAGGGCAGGGGCUUGUGUCAUUCACCAUGGCAUCCCCGGUGCCCAGGACAGUGUCCAGCGUCUGGUUGGUGCUCAAUAGACCUGAGUUCAAAGCCCAGUUCUGGAAGCCACCUCCCUGGGAGAAUCCCCGCCCACAUUGCUCUCGGUUCCUUGACCUCUGAGUCUGUUUUCCUUGUUUCCUCAGUGUGGGUGGUGACAGGAGGGUGACAGUCAUCCCUGCCGGCCAGGGGGUUGCUCUUCUGUUAUUCUUAGUAGGUCUUUGUUGCCGGGCCCCGCCUCCCCAUUCCCACCGUCCCCUGGGCAAGGGAAACUUUAAAAAGUUUCCAGGUCCCGCCCACCGACUCUUGGAGAAGGUCACCCUGGCUAGUGGAGCCAGAAUGUGGGCGAAGGUGAAGGCUGAGUCACGGCCACAAAAACUGAGGGGCGUGUCAUGGGGAUACGAUAUCCCAGUUCCGGCCAGGAGGAUGCUGUGUCUCACGCCCCAAGGCAAGGAAGCCCAAACAGAAAGGCUUUGAGAAAGAAAGGAAACAGGACUGUGAAUGGAAAAUUUCAACCGACCGCCACCCAGGAAUCCCCUUGGCCUGGGGUUGUCUUUGGAGCAUCAGUUGUCUUUGGAGCAUCAGUUCCCCACCGGCACGGGGCCCCCUGUCACUUGGCCUAGAGUGGCUUCCCCAUUUGUAAAUACAGGUGAGCCUCCAGGCAUCCCCCCACCCCCCAGCCAUCCUUGCUCCGCAGUGUUUAGUCCCAGGGCCGCAGCAAACGCUGUGCCCACUGUGCCCACAACCUGGCGUCUUCUUUCUCUCCCACCUCGACCCGCUGAAAUCCUGCCCCUUCCUGACGCCCAAUUAAAACACCAUGUCCUUAGGGCAUCCUACUCUUGCUUUCGGCUCAGGUCGAUCUCAUCUCAUAGUUCUGGGUCCGAGCCCCGCGUCGGGCUCUGUGCUGACAGCUCGGAGCCUGGAGCCUGCUUCGGAUUUCUGUGUCUCCCUCUCUCUCCGCUCUUCCCCUGCUCAUGCUCUGUCUCUGUCUGUCUCUCUCUCCAAAAUAAAUAAGACACUAAAAAUUAAAAAAAAAAUAAAUAAAAGAACAAGCUAAUUUAAAAAGAGACAACAUGCCCUUGAGGCUUCAAACCAUCUUCUGAUGCAGCAUCUGCCCCCCUCCUCUGCCUGCAGGUGACAUUUCAGGCCUCGGUGACCACGGCCUGGUGGUCAGCUGGGGUUGCACACUUCCCUCAUCACAGGCUCAACCUCUCCCACACUGGCUCAUCUUCUCUUUCUCCCCAGCUCGAAUGUGCUCCGGUGGCCUCGCCCAUUUUCAUGUAACUCUACACGUACUUACCCACAUGUCUCGUUGUCUCGUAGGUGCUUUUUCUGCCCCUCCGUCUCCAGGGUCCAAAAUGACUGCCCACUGAAAAAAUACAUUAGCGCCCCUUGGUAUUGAGCCAGACGAGCUGACAACUCGGGUCCACGCAAAAUCCUGCACCUGGACGCCCAUAGGACCUUUACUCCCCAUCGCCCAAACUUGGAAGCUACCAAGGUGUCCUUCGGGGGCUGAAUGGAUACACUGUUGUUGCACGGAACGGAAUUUUAUCAGAGAUAACAAGACGCGAGCUGCCGGGUCACAAAAAAGGCGUAGAGGCAACGUAAGCGCAUAAAAAAAUCUAUUCAUCGAGGCGCUUGGGUGGCUCAGUCUGUUGAGCGUGUCUGACUCUUGAUUUCCGCUCAGGUCAUGAUUUCACGGUUCAUGAGAUCAUGAGAGCAAGCCCCACAUCUGGCUCUGCACUGACAGCUCAGAGCCUGCUUGGGAUUCUCUCUCUUCCUUCCUUCCUUCCUUCCUUCCUUUCUUCCUUCCUUCCUUCCUUCCUGUCUUUCUUUCUUCUUCCCUUCCUUCCUUUCUUCCUCUAUUUCUUUCUUUCUUCCUCUCUUCCUUCCUUCCUUCCUUCCCUCUUUCCUUCCUUCCUUCCUCUCUUUCUCUUUCUUUCUUUCUUUCUCUCUCUCUCUCUCUCUCUCUGCCUUUCCCCUGCUCUCUCUCUGUCUCUCUCUCAAAAGUAAACAAAUCAACUUAAAAAAAAGUCUAUUCAGGGGCGCCUGGGUGGCUCAGUCGGUUGAGCAUAGGACUCCUGAUUUUGGCUCAGGUCAGCAUCUCCCGGCUCAUGGGUUCAAGCCCCACGCUGGGUGUUAGGCUUUGCGCUGAUAGUGGGGAACCUGCUGGGGAUUCUCUCUGCCCCUCCCCCGCUCUCUCUUAAAAUAAAUAAACUUUAAAAAAAAGGCUAUUCAUUAAGAAAAAAGAGGGGCAGCUGGGUGGCUCAGUCAGUUAAGUGUCGACUUCGGCUGAGGUCAUGAUCUCACAGUUCAAGCUUUCGAGUCCCACGUUGGGCUCUGUGCUGACAGCUCGGAGCCUGGAGCCUGCUUCCGAUUCUGUGUCUCCCUCGCUCUCUGCCCCUCCCCCAUUCAUGCCCUGUCUCUGUCUCUGUCUCUGUCUCUGUCUCUGUCUCUCUCUCGCUCCAGGGCCGUUGGCUGAAUUUCCUACCAUGCCCAGUGGGUGCAGUGAGAGGUUUCCACAUCUGCACUGAGAGGGUUUGGGCAGCAAACAGUUCCUGAGCCCAGGUUAGGGGGCUGCGGGCUGCGGGGCACUGAGAGGCCUGGGUUGGGCCUAAUGUGGGCAGGGCUCUCACACUCCCAAAGGCUGGGCAGAAAUGGCGGGUCCAGGUCCCAGCAUCACCCCCUCCCUUCCUUCAGCUAGGUUUGUCACUUCUCUGAACCUCGCUCUUCUCAUCUGUAAAUGGGGAGCACAAUUCCUGCCCCACAGUUGGGAGGGUUAGAUCCGUGCAUGUCUGGGCUGCUCCCUCCCAUUAGGCAUGGGCGUGACCCCUGCCCCUCAGGGCCCUUCUAUCUGGUUGGGAAGGGAAGGCCCACGGACUUUAAAAAAAAAAAUGUCACACCCGCAGUGUGACAAAUGAAGAUAGCAGGAGAGUUGCUGGAGACGACUUCUGUGUUCUCAGUGGUUUCCAAAGGGGGACAGGGCCAUGUGAGAGGUCUUCUGGAAGUGUCCAGAGGAGGGCCUCCGAGGAAGCGUGUGCUUGUCUGGGAAGGGACGUUAGCCAUCAGCCGGUGAGGAAUAGCCAGCAAGAGCCAAAACAAGGAAGUGGGAGAGAGUACCACAGAGCGAGUGUCCAGAAGCAGCCUCCGACAUCUGACAGGCUCCGAGGCCAGUGCUCAGGGAGGCCCCCAGACCAGGAACACUGGCCAGUGACACGACCCCUGCUCUUCCUGAGCCGUCUGUGCUGGGAGACCCAGCAGGGUCUGGGGAUGUGAAGGGCGUGGUUUGGGAGCCAGACAAGAGCUGCAUGACCUUGGACAAGUCACUUUACCCCUCGAACCUCAAUUUCCCCAAACGCAAAGUGGGGGUGGUUGUGAGUUGCAACAUAUACAGCACCGCCACGGGGCCUGUCACCACGGAAGGGGGUCAUUUGGGUGGCAGCCAUGAUUAUUAUUGGGGGCUGGGAGAAGCCAGGGCCGGUUGAACCCCUUGGGCCCUCCCCGGGUGCCCAGCCUGAGAUGCAUCCCCGCAGGUGCCCGGUGAAGGCUGACGGACCCACGACCGCACGAAUGGGGGAGCGGUGGCUCUGUCCCCAGGCCCGGCCCCGGGGAGGGCCUGUCUCUGGGUACCCUGUGGACCCAUAGCAGGAAGGCCGUGACCCGUAAUUAACCAAGGCCCGGCUGGGCGGGCGGCCAGGCUCUCCCUGGUGCCCACGUGAUACUCCGUCAGCCUCCGUGAGCACACAUGCCGCAAUCUGAAACCCAGCCACAGGCUGGAACCAGUUGCACAGAGAACCGAGUUGUCACAACAGGAAGGGCGUGUUUGGAGGCUGCCAGAGGGACAGUGGAGGGGGCCUGGGCCCUGUUCUCCCACACCCCAGGCCACCCAAGAGCUGCGAGGCCGCAGGUGCCUAGAACACGGCUACCGGGAGCGUGUCCUUGGCAGGGUGCUGGAUUCAGCCCUGGCCAGCCAUCCCUGACCUCGGCCUUCAAUUGUGAGGACUGUUCGCGCUUGAGGAAUCCGCGUGCCCUGCACCUCAGGCCAACAGCUCCACUCCCGCUGCCCUCACGACCUGCCCCUGCAACAUGUCCUCCCGAGGCCUGCUUAUCAUCUUGGAGGAUCUGCUCAAAUUCUGCCCUUCGCAGGAGCCUCCAGGGCCCCCAGGGCUUGCUUGGGCCCCUUGGGAGCCUUGUCCACAGCCCCCCACCCGGCAGGAGGCGCUCAGAUGUAGAUAACGUGUGUUCUUCAUUCAUGCCUUCCUUGGUCCCCGGUAUUAUGUGUCUGCUGUGUUAGAGGGAGAGGUGGCGUCAGUGUGGGUAAAGAACGUUGGAGAAGGAGCCAGGAGCCCCAAGUUUGGGAAGGAUCCGUGGCCCUGGGCCUUCCCUGGGCCUCUGCUUCCUCACCUUACAAGGAGUGUAGGACUCACCUGGCUGCCCUGUGGGGUCUUGGGGCUUUGAUGUUCUAUGGUCCCAGAUGCUGUCCCCAGUCUCCCCCCCCN
rnacentral:lncRNA from 1 species